UAUAUGGCAGUUUUUCCUCUCUAAAACAGCAUUAAUAGCUUCCUUUAUAGUAACACCAAAUCUCUGAAGCAUGGAUUACUCUGAGCCUUGUACUGGUUAUCAAAUUACUAUUCUUGAUAUGUUGAUUUUCAAUCAAGUUGCUGCUUUUAAUGUGUAAUAAGAAUAAUAGUGUAUGUAAAGUGUACAUAAUAAUGUAAGAUCAUUAUUAUUUGUAACACAAACUUGUCUAGGUUCACCUGCAGCAAGAUGAGUAGAAUAGUACAUACAACACUUACACAUGUAGAAUUACUGAAGUCAAAGUGGUUAGAGUGACACACGCAUGCAACCAUUGUAACACAUGCAUAGUAUGUGUAACUAACCAUAUGUAAAAUAAAUGUAUAGGAUCACUUAGAAAAGGUUGGCACUUAUUUAUAUCAUAAUGUUAUGGAAACCACAGUUAAGUCAAAUGGAUCUAGAACAUAAUAGGAAAGUUAACUAAAAAUAUGGAAUUAUUACAAAGACAUUUUUUCAUUUAUAUUUUAAAGAUAGGGUGACCACCUUUUACUUGAAUAAUUCAGAGAAAAAUAGGAAAACAAAUAUAUCUUUACAAGACUUCUAGCAUUUACUGCUAAGAUAGGAUACUAACAUUUUAAUCAUGGGGGAUUAUCAUAUCUGUAUCAAUGUGUCAGGAGUGUAUGUUUGAGGGUCACAAGAUUCUGACAUCGUGUCAGUGUUUUUGUCCAAAUCAGUUUGGUUUUUCACUUGUUUUCAAAUUAAGAGAGUAUGCUACUAUGAUACUUGGCUAUUUUGUUUUUCAGGUGGGACUAAAUAAUUUCAUACAGAAUUUAGGGAUAGACUGUAAAAUUCUCAGAGUAACAGACUGUCCCACCUAAAUUUGGAAUGGAAGGUUACUGUAUUUAAGAAUUACCCACUGGAGUAAAACAAAAUUUCAUCAGGGACACUUUAAAAAACACAAGUUUUAUUCAGGAAAAUGUAGACAUGAUACAGGAUGUUUCAAAACCAUAUUAUGUUGCAUACUUGUAUAACAUUUUUUACAAAUUAGUAUUAUUUUUAUUUCCCUCUCUUUAUUAACCAAUAUGAAAUUGGUGACUUUAAUAAAAUGUCUGUGAGCUAGUACUCACAGUAGCUUCAUUUAGGGACAGGUUUUAUAUUAUUAUUAGAAAUGAUGGAAAUGCAUAUUGAACAGCCUCAGUCACAGUUUUUCAAAACCCUUUAGAAUGUCCAAAUUAUUGUGAAUAAAAUACAUAAUUUUCAAUGUGCCUUUCAUAAAAUUUAGUUCCCAUAUAUGAUAAUUACUUUUUAAAGUUAUAAUCAUUUACACUCACCCUGUGUUUUCAGUACUGCAAGUGCUCCCAAACCUGCAAAAGUCAAGAAAUUUCAAAAGGAGUUGGAAAGUCUGGAAAAAUUGAAAUGUUCUCCCAAAACUUGGAAAAAAACUAGGGGAAGUUAUAGAACCCCCUUCUUUCUUUUUAAAUCUCAGGACCUGUCCAUGUACUCAAACCAUGAUGCUUAUCUAUUUCAACAUAAUCUUGGUCACUGGGGGAAAUUUGGAAAAAGUGUGCAUGGCCACCCUGUGUUCAUGAAGAAUGACUUCAUUAUUAUUUAUAGUGUUGAAGGUAAAGACUGAAUUCAUGUCUGAUAAGGAACCAGGAGAUUUGCUCAAACUGGAGAAAAUAAGAAAUCAAUGAAGUAUCACCUUUUUAAUAGAAAAUUGUGGUACCAAAAAUAAAAUUCAUGUAUAUACAGUUUUCAAGGAGGAUCAAUCUGUGUUUAAUUAUGAAGAAACAUUACAUAGAUCCUGUAAGUACAUGAACAUUUGGUUUAAAACAGUUGAAGAUAAUGAUUCUCCAGAGAAAGUGUGGUGUUAUUGAUGAAUAUGAGACUAAUAAGCCAGAUGAGAGAGGAUCCAGUGAUUGAAAACAAAGUUCUUUAAGAAUUCAACUUUAUUAGCACAUAAUACAAUUUUAAGUUCAUAUUUUAUGUUUGGGUUGUGUUUGGAAAUCAUGUUCAUCUAGCAACUUUAUUUUAGCAUAUUUUCCUUAGUAUUUCUGUCUGUGUUAUUUAAGUCUAAAAAGUGGUGACAAGAUUUGAAAAUAAGUAAUAAUAAUCAGAAAAGUAAUUAAUUGAUUCUUAGCUCUUGUCACACAAAUACUGUUUAUUACAAGAUGCAAGAUCCAAAACACUUUGUCUAGAACAACGUUUACUUGACUCAGCUUUAAAGAGUAUAGUCCUAACAACCAGUU
rnacentral:lncRNA from 1 species